CCUACGGGAGGCAGCAGUGAGGAAUAUUUGUCAAUGGACGAGAGUCUGAACCAGCCAAGUAGCGUGAAGGAUGACUGCCCUAUGGGUUGUAAACUUCUUUUAUACGGGAAUAAAAUGCUUCACGUGUGGGAUUUUGUAUGUACCAUAUGAAUAAGGAUCGGCUAACUCCGUGCCAGCCGCCGCGGUAAUACGGAGGAUCCGAGCGUUAUCCGGAUUUAUUGGGUUUAAAGGGAGCGUAGGUGGAUUGUUAAGUCAGUUGUGAAAGUCUGCGGCUCAACCGUAAAAUUGCAGUUGAAACUGGCAGUCUUGAGUGCGGUAGAGGUGGGCGGAAUUCGUGGUGUAGCGGUGAAAUGCUUAGAUAUCACGAAGAACUCCGAUUGCGAAGGCAGUUCACUGGACUGCAACUGACGCUGAGGCUCGAAAGUGUGGGUAUCGAACAGGAUUAGAUACCCUAGUAGUC
rnacentral:rRNA from 1 species